UCUUCAUCAACAUGACCUUCAUCAUCAUCUUCAUCUGGACUCUCACAGUGUUUGCUCAAGAGUGUAGAGGACAGAUCAGCGUCACUCAGAGUCCCUCAACGACAGCAGCUCAACCAGGAGAAACUGUCAAGAUCAACUGUAGAACCAGCACAGAUGUGUACUUAUAUAGUGGAUCUGAUCUUUUAGCCUGGUACUUACAGAAACCUGGAGAAGCUCCUAAACUCCUGAUUUAUUGGACAAGCAGCCUCCAGUCAGGAACUCCAUCUAGAUUCAGUGGCAGUGGAUCUAACAGUGAUUUCACUCUGACCAUCAGUGGAGUCCAGGCUGAAGAUGCUGGACAUUAUUACUGUCAGAGUGCUCAUUUAAUCAGUAGUAGCUGGCUGUUCACACAGUGAUUGUGAGUGUUACAAAAACCUGUGUCAGUCAGAGUCACAGUGACUGAACUGAUGCUGCAGCUGAUCAAACACUAUCACUCACUACUGACACAC